rnacentral:rRNA from 1 species
GUCGAGAAUCUUCCGCAAUGCGCGAAAGCGUGACGGAGCGACACCGCGUGAUGGAUGAAGUCCUUCGGGGCGUAAACAUCUUUUAUAAAGGAGGAAAUUUUUGACGUUACUUUAUGAAUAAGGGGCUCCCAAUCUCGUGCCAGCAGGAGCGGUAAUACGAGAGCCUCAAGCGUUAUCCGGAAUCAUUGGGCGUAAAGGGUGCGUAGGUGGUUUGAUUAGUCUCCCGUUAAAACUUCGAGCUUAACUCGAAAAGAGCGGGGGAAACGGUCAAACUAGAGUAUGUGAGAGGUGUGUGGAACUCAUGGUGUAGGGGUGAAAUCCGUUGAUAUCAUGUGGAACACCAAAAGCGAAGGCAGCACACUGGCACAUCACUGACACUGAGGCACGAAACCUAAGGUAGCGAAUGGGAUUAGAUACCCGAGUAGUCC